UGGAGCAGCAGCCUGCUGUCCCAGCAUGUCCCUGAGGCACAGAGCGUCCAGCCCCAGCAGAGGACACCGGGGAGGAGGCCAGGACGUGCGGAGCUCCCGGGCUGGCCAGAGGCACCCUGUGAAAGUUCCAGGUAAAUGGGAGAUUUGGAGACUAGCUUAAUCCAUACACGAAAAGCAUGUAGAAUAGAGCAAAUGGUAGCAAAAUGGCUUCAUCGCUCUCGGGACAGCCUGCCCAGGUGAGUGGGGUCUGUGGAGGGAGCACCUUGGGGCAGAGGCCGCCCCUGGGGCUGGCGCGGCCUGCGCGGCCUGCGCGGCCUGCUCGCUGUGUCUGUCCUUGGGAAAUGCGCUCACAGAAACACAACAGCAGCAGCAGUUUGUGAGCAACCCCCCUGGCUGCCAGGGGCUGCCGUUCCUGCCGUGCUCUGCUGGGGUUUUGUGAGGAGGAAAUGCAGCAUUGCUCCACUGGAACUGGCUCUUCCUGAAGGGGCAGCGUGGCAGCGAUGGACAGCGCUGGGGACAGUGCAGGGCAGCCCCCAAGCCGGGCCAAGGUGACGGUGACCGUGUACAAGGACCUGGUGCUGCAGCAUUACGGCUUCGAGAUCUGCCCCGGGCUGCCACUGACCAUCGCCUCCGUCAC